AAGGAAUUACGAAACUGGUUUUCAUAAUGAUUUGACAGAUUGUUCAAAUUCUGAGAUCAUUGUGAAAGCUGUUUUUUUGUUCCUGUCUCAA
rnacentral:pre_miRNA from 12 species